CCGUUACAGCGAACGAACUCUGCCUACAACUGUGCGUGCGUUCGUGGCGUACGCGUGUAGUACCGGUUGCCGAUCGGCCGGCGCUGCGCGUAGAAUCUUAGUCGCGAAGCUCUGGCAUAAUGGUAACGAUAGCUUUUUGCCGUUUGCGAAUAUCUCGACAACUAAGGCAGUCCGCUGUGUGUAGCUAUAGGAAAAGCUUAUUGAGAACGUCGACUUCCACGACAUAUUUAAAGAUCAUGGAAAUCGACCUUCUAACAUAGCGGCUAGGACGACGUUACGAAUCGUCGAUGAACAAUACCCGCGAUCCACGCAACAUACAUGCUUAAGUACUUGUAUUUAG
rnacentral:misc_RNA from 1 species